UAGGGAGACCUAAUCCAUUUGGAAAUCGAAAACAAUGAAAAUUGUCAAUAGAAACUAAAUUGGUCUAACCUAGGUCGUUCGAGAUUGGUAGACAUCUUUCAAAGUAUUAUUCGGCUUCGUUCAAAACCAUAUAUAAUAAAUGGAAAAAGACAGCACCUAAUUGUCAAAGUUAGACUGCUGGAUGAAGUUCCAGCCAGAACCUUGAAAACUGCAUAAGAGAACAAGAAAAAGCAGGCAGACACAGACAUUUAGAUGGAUGUGGAAGCAAAAGAAAUUGU
rnacentral:misc_RNA from 1 species